AUUAGCGGCGGACGGGUGAGUAACACGUGAGUAACCUGCCUUAGACAUUGGGAUAGCCUCGGGAAACCGGGAUUAAUACCAAAUAAAAUCAUAAUGACACAUGUCAUAACGAUCAAAACUCCGGUGGUCUAAGAUGGACUCGCGUCCCAUUAGCUAGUUGGUAGAGUAAAAGCCUACCAAGGCGACAAUGGGUAGCCGGCCUGAGAGGGUGAACGGCCACAUUGGAACUGAGAAACGGUCCAA
rnacentral:rRNA from 1 species